rnacentral:rRNA from 1 species
GUCUCAAAGAUUAAGCCAUGCAUGUCUAAGUAUAAGCAAUUUAUACGGUGAAACUGCGAAUGGCUCAUUAAAUCAGUUAUCGUUUAUUUGAUAGUACCUUACUACAUGGAUUCCUGUGGUAAUUCUAGAGCUAAUACAUGCUAAAAACCUCGACUUCGGAAGGGGUGUAUUUAUUAGAUAAAAAACCAAUGCCCUUCGGGGCUCCUUGGUGAAUCAUAAUAACUUAACGAAUCGCAUGGCCUUGCGCCGGCGAUGGUUCAUUCAAAUUUCUGCCCUAUCAACUUUCGAUGGUAGGAUAGUGGCCUACCAUGGUGGCAACGGGUAACGGGGAAUUAGGGUUCGAUUCCGGAGAGGGAGCCUGAGAAACGGCUACCACAUCCAAGGAAGGCAGCAGGCGCGCAAAUUACCCAAUCCCGACACGGGGAGGUAGUGACAAUAAAUACUGAUACGGGGCUCUUUUGGGUCUCGUAAUUGGAAUGAGUACAAUCUAAAUCCCUUAACGAGGAACAAUUGGAGGGCAAGUCUGGUGCCAGCAGCCGCGGUAAUUCCAGCUCCAAUAGCGUAUAUUAAAGUUGUUGCAGUUAAAAAGCUCGUAGUUGAACCUUGGGUCUGGCUGGCCGGUCCGCCUCACCGCGAGUACUGGUCCGGCUGGACCUUUCCUUCUGGGGAACCUCAUGGCCUUCACUGGCUGUGGGGGGGAACCAGGGACUUUUUCUGUGAAAAAAUUAAAGUGUUCAAAAGCAGGGCCUUUGCUCCGAAUACAUUA